CAUGCAAGUCGAACGGCAGCACGGGAGCAAUCCUGGUGGCGAGUGGCGAACGGGUGAGUAAUACAUCGGAACGUGCCCAAUCGUGGGGGAUAACGCAGCGAAAGCUGUGCUAAUACCGCAUAAGAUCUAAGGAUGAAAGCAGGGGACCGCAAGGCCUUGCGCGAAUGGAGCGGCCGAUGGCAGAUUAGGUAGUUGGUGAGGUAAAGGCUCACCAAGCCUUCGAUCUGUAGCUGGUCUGAGAGGACGACCAGCCACACUGGGACUGAGACACGGCCCAGACUCCUACGGGAGGCAGCAGUGGGGAAUUUUGGACAAUGGGCGCAAGCCUGAUCCAGCCAUGCCGCGUGCAGGAUGAAGGCCUUCGGGUUGUAAACUGCUUUUGUACGGAACGAAAAGGUUCUUUCUAAUAAAGAGGGCUCAUGACGGUACCGUAAGAAUAAGCACCGGCUAACUACGUGCCAGCAGCCGCGGUAAUACGUAGGGUGCAAGCGUUAAUCGGAAUUACUGGGCGUAAAGCGUGCGCAGGCGGUGAUGUAAGACAGUUGUGAAAUCCCCGGGCUCAACCUGGGAACUGCAUCUGUGACUGCAUCGCUGGAGUACGGUAGAGGGGGAUGGAAUUCCGCGUGUAGCAGUGAAAUGCGUAGAUAUGCGGAGGAACACCGAUGGCGAAGGCAAUCCCCUGGACCUGUACUGACGCUCA
rnacentral:rRNA from 1 species